rnacentral:tRNA from 1 species
GGGAAGGUGGCUCAGUGGUAGAGCUCUUGCCUUGCAUGCAUGAGGCCCUGGGUUCGAUUCCUCAGC